CACUUACAGGGGGUUGGAGUGCAGCAGACACUUGGUUGGACUCACCCACUGAAGUAUGUGCACCCAGGUUCACAGGCAAGUUUGCCUGCACAAAGAAGUUUUAACAUUCACGGAAAUGUCUACUGACAAUUUGAAAAGCAAUUUUUUUUCAAAGACCACAGAAAUACCUGUGUAUUGCCUUGACUAUUGAAGAUACCAUACAUAGUUGCACUCACUGGAAUAUUCAGGGCAUUCCCUUGUGUUCUGUUUAUAGAAGCAUGUGGAAGCUUCUGAUUUUGCAUCCAGGGGUGUGUAUGUUGCAUCCCUUGGUUCCAAGCAUCAGAAUUCAG
rnacentral:lncRNA from 1 species